ACGGGUGAGUAAUGCUUAGGAAUCUGCCUAUUAGUGGGGGACAACAUUCCGAAAGGAAUGCUAAUACCGCAUACGCCCUACGGGGGAAAGCAGGGGAUCUUCGGACCUUGCGCUAAUAGAUGAGCCUAAGUCAGGUUAGCUAGUUGGUGGGGUAAAGGCCUACCAAGGCGACGAUCUGUAGCGGGUCUGAGAGGAUGAUCCGCCACACUGGGACUGAGACACGGCCCAGACUCCUACGGGAGGCAGCAGUGGGGAAUAUUGGACAAUGGGCGCAAGCCUGAUCCAGCCAUGCCGCGUGUGUGAAGAAGGCCUUUUGGUUGUAAAGCACUUUAAGCGAGGAGGAGGCUACUUGGAUUAAUACUCUGAGAUAGUGGACGUUACUCGCAGAAUAAGCACCGGCUAACUCUGUGCCAGCAGCCGCGGUAAUACAGAGGGUGCGAGCGUUAAUCGGAUUUACUGGGCGUAAAGCGUGCGUAGGCGGCUUUUUAAGUCGGAUGUGAAAUCCCUGAGCUUAACUUAGGAAUUGCAUUCGAUACUGGGAAGCUAGAGUAUGGGAGAGGAUGGUAGAAUUCCAGGUGUAGCGGUGAA
rnacentral:rRNA from 1 species